GAUGAACGCUGGCGGCGUGCCUAAUACAUGUAAGUCGAGCGAACAGAUGAGGAGCUUGCUCCUCUGACGUUAGCGGCGGACGGGUGAGUAACACGUGGAUAACCUACCUAUAAGACUGGGAUAACUUCGGGAAACCGGAGCUAAUACCGGAUAAUAUAUUGAACCGCAUGGUUCAAUAGUGAAAGACGGUUUUGCUGUCACUUAUAGAUGGAUCCGCGCCGCAUUAGCUAGUUGGUAAGGUAACGGCUUACCAAGGCAACGAUGCGUAGCCGACCUGAGAGGGUGAUCGGCCACACUGGAACUGAGACACGGUCCAGACUCCUACGGGAGGCAGCAGUAGGGAAUCUUCCGCAAAGGGCGAAAGCCUGACGGAGCAACGCCGCGUGAGUGAUGAAGGUCUUCGGAUCGUAAAACUCUGUUAUUAGGGAAGAACAAAUGUGUAAGUAACUAUGCACGUCUUGACGGUACCUAAUCAGAAAGCCACGGCUAACUACGUG
rnacentral:rRNA from 1 species